CUGCGGAAGGAUCAUUACCGAGUGAGGGCCCUCUGGGUCCAACCUCCCACCCGUGUUUAUUUACCUUGUUGCUUCGGCGAGCCUGCCUUUUGGCUGCCGGGGGACGUCAGUCCCCGGGUCCGUGCUCGCCGGAGACACCUUAGAACUCUGUCUGAAGAUUGUAGUCUGAGAUUAAAUAUAAAUUAUUUAAAACUUUCAACAACGGAUCUCUUGGUUCCGGCAUCGAUGAAGAACGCAGCGAAAUGCGAUACGUAAUGUGAAUUGCAGAAUUCAGUGAAUCAUCGAGUCUUUGAACGCACAUUGCGCCCUCUGGUAUUCCGGAGGGCAUGCCUGUCCGAGCGUCAUUGCUGCCCUCAAGCACGGCUUGUGUGUUGGGCCCCGUCCUCCUUCCGGGGGACGGGUCCGAAAGGCAGCGGCGGCACCGCGUCCGGUCCUCAAGCGUAUGGGGCUUUGUCACUCGCUUUGUAGGCCUGGCCGGCGCUUGCCGAUCAACCAAACUUUUUAUCAGGUUGACCUCGGUACGAGUAGGGAUACCCG
rnacentral:rRNA from 1 species